GGCCCCUGAGCGGGAUGCAGGCCUGGGGUCUGUCCCUGACCUGCGGGCUGGACCCUGGGGGCACGGGCUCCUGUCUGGAGGUGCCACUUCCCCGCCCGCGUGGCCUGUGCCACCUGAAGGGGUGCGGGGCUGUGGGAAAGGCCUGGGCUCAGCUGGAGUUCAGCUCUUGCUGGGCUCCUCUGUCCCCGUGAGUGCUCUCGGGGGUACUGAAGCCGCCGGGCCCCGCGUCAGCUGAGCUUUUGGAACAGGAGGUGAAAGGAAAAAUAGGAAACCGUCCAUGUUGCCGAUACUUGAGUUUGAUGUUUUAACAUCAGGGAAGAGCUGUGCGCGUCUUACAUGGAAACACUGGCCUCAGUUCUGGAGUUUAGUGCCCUGUCCUGCGAGUGUCUGGCCCGAGCCAGCCUCUGCCCAGCACACGUCUUGUUAACUUUAUGGGCCGUGUUCGCAGGGAGACCCAGCCCCCGGGUGCCACCCCCACGCCUUGUUCCCAGACUCCAUUGUUGGCACGGCUUGCCAGGCAGAAACACUGGCCGCUUUAUGGGGAGAAACUUAAUCGGGGCGGCAGUGGGGGGGGCAGCCGUGGCGGGGGGGGGGUCCUGGCUCCCGGUGGCCCCAAGCCAAGCUCGAGGUGACUGCGGGGUGACGCCGUCUGUCUGCCUCGCUUGCUCCAGACAUCCGCCUGGGGCCUGAAAGGGCCACCUGCCCAUCGAGGCCUCACACACCUGUCCCCGCUGGCCUGGCUCCUCCCAUCCCGGGCCUGCCCGGCGCCCUGCCCGUGGGCAGACACUGUGGGACCAGGGCUGGGCCGGCGGCGGCGGCGGCAGCUGGCAGAUGGCAGGGCGACGGCCCCCGGCUCCCCAGCAGCCUGGCCCAGGGCGCCCCCUUCAUGCUGCACCGCCUGUCCCUGUCGCCGACCCCCGUCCAGACCACGGCCAUCCCCCCGGGAGAGAGGAGGUCUGUGCUGUCCCUCCCUGAGCCCGAGGCCCGUGGACCUUCCUAGGACCGCAGGGCAGGUGGGCCGAGCACAUCGUGCCCCCCGCCCCGCGGAAUGGGGGCCUUUCCCCUGUUAGCUCAGAAACGUCUCCACGGAUGGGUCACAGACCCAGCAGCGUCGCUCCUGCUCUCCCUGCAAAACCGGGUUGUUGGCCGAAGAACCAGGUUCUGUGGGAGCUGCCCCUUGAGGUGCCUGCCCCAAGGCAGGGGGAUCAGAGUUCAGGGAACCCUGCUGGGGGCACUGUGCCUGCUUCCUGGUCACCUGGAAAGGCGAGGAGCGGCACAGAUGUGCCCGAACCUGCCCCCCGCCCUCGGGGAGCGCCCGCCCCCGGCUCCCGUAGCUGCACUGCCUGCCGCAGGUCUGGCUGUCCGGACACGAGGCCUGGCGCCUCAGAGGGCAAGCCCGGGUCCCAUGGCCAUGGCCCGCCUGGGCCUCCCGGUGGGCCGUGAGAGAGGGGCCCGGACUGAGGAGCAGGGGGAGCAGUGAGGCGGUCACUUCUGGCACAGGACAGGUGAGCCUGGGAGGGCAGCUGUCAGACACGUGGGGGAGAGCUGCCCGGGGCAUUUUUCUGCCCUGGGAGGGUGGAAGAGGAGGGGGGCCUGAGCCCUGGUGAUGGGCAGCCUGGCCUCUGGGAGGGCUGAGGGGCAGGGCAGGCCAGGACCCCCACAGCCAGGUGGACUCAUCUUCCUGUCCCUGUUAGUGGCCAGGAACGCUGAGGUGCGGUUGGCACAGGGCAGGCCCGGACCGACCCACAUAGGCCUGGCUCCCAGUCCAGCGUCUCAGGCUCAGCCUCAGAGGCCCCUGCUGUCCCCGGGCCGACUGUGCUCGUUACCUGUGUCCCUUCCCUCGUGCUGGUCCUGGGAGGGCACCUGUGCAGUGGGCCGGGGCCAGCUGGGGUACAGUUUGCUGAGUGAGCCUGGGUCCUGGGGCGUCUGCAGCUGGCAUAGAGCUGGGGCCUCCUUUGCGAAGUGGGGAGACAGGAGAGGGCUCGUGUCCCUUCUCCCCACAUCCCCCCGCCCUCAGGCCCCAGAGAAACCGUGAGAGCCUGGCAUGGCGCUGGCCGCCCAGCAUGGGACCAGACCUGGGUCUUGCUCACCUGUGAGCCGACAUCGGCCGGCACAGGGCAGCCGCAGAGGCCCUUCUGACCAGGCCUCUGCACGGGGUGUGUCCGCAGGCGAGAGGCCGUGGUGAGACCCCCGCGGGCUGAAGUACAGGGUCUACAGCAGGUGGCUGGCGGGUGAGGCACAGAGCAGCCGCCGGAACUCAGGCAUGGCUGGGGCUCUCCCAAAGCUGACGCCUGUUAUUUUUUCUUAAAUCCAAACAGGUCAAGAAGUGGCGCCAAGGGGGGAGCUUCUGUCCGAGGCCAGCCUUCCUUCCGGUGAGCCGAGUGUUAGGAUGUUGGGCCCCCCCCCACCACUCACGGGGCGCCUCGCCACCUGCCGCACUCCUCCCAGCCCCGGCAGAACCCACCUCUUGCAGGAGACAGGCCGGCGAGGCUCGUGGUCACGCCUGCUGAAUACCCAGCUGGCUCUCACAGGGCAGCAUGGGUGACAGCUGGCACCACGGCCCGCCCCUCCCGCUGUCCCGCCUCUGGGAAGUGGGGAGCCAUGGCGGAGCUUAGGAUGCAGAGGGAGGCGGCCCCUCCCCAUCUCCAGGCCCUGCUGACACCCACAGAGGUCCUUAGAUGGGGUCUCGCUGCCAGACCUUUGCCCAAGCUGUGCCCCACCUGAUGCCAGCUCUCCUCAUCCUCCUGCCACGACUCGGCAAACCCCCCAGCUGACUUACCGCUGACUUACUGCCCGCCAUGUGCUUGUGACCUUUGACCUGCUGAAGGCGCGCUCUGCCCCCCACCCCCCAGGCUGGACUUGGCCUGCACGAGCCACGGUCUGUGUCGCAGGGUGUCUGGAUGGAAGAGCAGCACUGGGCCCCGUCUCCCUCUGCGCCGUGAGGACCCGCCGUUCCUGGCUCCCAGGCAGGUGCGCCUGCCCCCCCCAACCCCAGGCUCACCCUGCCCCCUUCUCUCCACCCGGCCGGGCGCCAGCCCUCGACCUGCUGCCAGCUGUCAACAUGCGACGCACACAGGUGAGUGUUACCCGGGGCAGGAAAGGCUGGAUGAGGAGAACCAGUGACAUCUGCUUCUCCCAGACGGGGCUGGGGGCACCGGGGGCUUGCGGUGACGGCCGGGGUGGCCCAGGGUGUGUGAGUGUACGUCUGUGUGCUAUUUCUCCCCCCGCCCCCGCCCCCUGCCUCUCCUGAUCCCAUGGGGCCCGGCCGGCCCGUGGGCUGGCCCUUUUCCGCAGGCCGUGGCCUCCCACUGGGGUCUGGGGUCGGCCCUGCAGGCUCCAGAGCUGAAGCCCUGGCCCAGGAGGGGUGGGCAGGUGCGGGGCGCAGGGCAGGACUGUCGGAGCCGAGUAGCGGCUCACACGUGGAUUCCAGCUCCAUGUCGGUUCUGGGGCCUGGCUGCUGUUCCCCCCAGGGAGCUGCGUGGACCCCACAUCUCAGGGAGGAAAUCCAGGCCCACAAGGGCGUAAGCAGAAGCACGGCGAGGAGGCCCGCCUGGCUUCGCAGCCAGCUCCACCUGCUGGGCGUCCUGCCCCGGGCCACCCCUGCCUGCUGGGCCCAUGGUCAGAACCCGUGUCCCUGCGGCCUGAGGCCAUUGGGGUCUUGGGGGCAAAGUCAGGAGUCAGGAGCCAGAGCAUGUGCUCAGGGCGCCUCCCCAGAGUCACUCAGACACACGGGGAGCCCUGGGCGGGGCGUCGGGUCCUUGGCUGCAGUGUCUUCCCCGUGACGAGGCCGAGCGGCCGCCCCUCCACAGACAGCCAGCAUGCUCCUGCCCGACCCCUCACCAUUACCGGGGCGGGGGUGGGCAGCAAAGGAAGACCCUCUGGGCCCUGAGGACGGACAGGGCGCCCGUGACCACAGGCCAGCCAGGUCCGGGGCCAGGCUGUGCUGGGGCGUUCCUGGGCUCAUACCCAGGUCCGGGCGGAUGGCGCUGGGUGGGCUCUGAUGUCAUCACGGGCUGACGGUUCUGGCUUUAUCUCAUGCUCCCCGGGGUUGUUCAGGGAGCAGCCGCGGCCGUGUUUGUCAGGACCGGACACCAGAGCUCCCUCUGCAGUCGUGGGUGAAGCCGAGCCCAGGAGAGCCCCUCGCCCCCGCCCUGACGGGGCCCCCUCCGAGCCUUGGUUUCCUCGUGUGAGGUGGGUUCACGGAUCCUGGCUUCACCAGGCCUUCAAGGACCAGGGAGCCAGCACACCUGGUGCCUGCCUGGAGGAGGCAGCCUGCUCGGAAGGAGUGUGGGAGGAGGCGUGGGUGUCAGAAAGCGUGGUGUGAGGCUCAGCUCUUGCACCAUCUUGCUGAGCAGAAAGCAGAGCCACUGGUCCUGCGCUCUGCCGGUCAUCAGCUGCGUGACCUCACGUAGGCCUUGCUAUCUGACUGGGUCUCAGGCACGGGCCCUGGGCCGCGUGUGUCUGUCCCCCGAGGGGCUGCAGUUCCGGCCCAGCCACCCUUUCCUGGGACCCUUUGGGGAGGAAAGAACAGCACUCCAGCCUGUCCUGAUGUGGGGAGAAGCCCGGGUCACCCUGGAUGGCAGGGCCAGGCCCACGGGCAGGGAGGCCCCACUGUCCAGCGGGGGAGGGAGCUGCACCUGGGGCACAGGUGCAUCCCGGGCCACCAGGAACCGGGGGAGGCUGCUGCCAGCGGGCAGGGCCAGGCGGGCACUGGAGCCCCUUUGGGACACAAAUUGGCCUGCAGCAAAUGACAUCCCCCAGUGUCACCUUGGGGCCGUCUUGGCCCCCCCGUGCAGAUGGGAGUGAUCCCACUGCUUGUGUCGCUUCCCCAAAGGCCGCGUCGCGCGUCUGCCCCCCCCCCCGCCUCUCUUCCCUCCCUGCUGGGUGGUCUUCCCCGUGGGGCUCCCCCCUGGCCCUCUGCUGGCCGCCUGCCUGAGCCAUGCCCUUAGCAUCCCGGCCCCCAGCUCUUCUCCUCCCCCCUGCCCAGGAGGUGCCUUCGGAAGCCACGACGUCUCUCCAGGCGCCGAGACUGGCGGCCCUUUGGGGUGAGGUAGUAGGUUGUAUAGUUGGGGCUCCGCCCGGCUGUGGAAUAACUAUACAACCUACUGUCUUUCCUGAAGCGGCUGUAAUGUCGACAGUGGACCGCGCGGGAGCCUGGCCGGGAGGGUGCCUGCCAGCUGGGGCGGGGAGCGGCCUGGCGGUGGGGGCACACUUCCUGUGUGACCCGGGCAGGUCUCUUGACCUCUCUGGGCCUCCGUUUCUCCAUCUGUGAAAUGGGGCAAACGAGGCUUGAGGGCAGUAUGGUGCGACGCGGCCAAGGAGGCCAGGGCUCAGAGGGGGGCCCUCCCUCUCCCCACGCUGUGCUGGCGGACCCGAUGGGCGGACCAGUCUGGACGGUGCCCCCAGCUGAGACCUGGCCGGGGUGGCAGGGCAGCGCCCCAGGGCGACCGGGCGGGCGGCCUCCAUCCGCACAUCCCCGUCUGCCUUGUGGGCACGCGGCCCUGACAGCCUGCGGGUGGACGGCGGGGGGCGGGGGGAACCACGGCGCCGUCCGCAGGGCCCCUCCUGCCCUGCGCCUGCCCGGCCUCCAGCCCAGCCCUGGCGGCUGCGGAUCCCCAGGCAGGGGCCGGGCCUGGGUGUGGGGCAGCAGCGGGCACGGCGGACCCUCCCGCAGCCCGGGCGCCCGCGGGGUGAGGUAGUAGGUUGUGUGGUUUCAGGGCAGUGAUGUUGCCCCCUCGGAAGAUAACUAUACAACCUACUGCCUUCCCUGAGGAGUCCAGCCACGUCCCCGGAGGGUCCGCCCCCGUGCUCAGCAGGUGCCUCGGGGGCCUGAGCGCCCCCCCACCCCCUGCCAGGUGCAGGGAGGCUGCGGUGCGCACACCCCUUGAUUUCAAUAAACGCUGAGUUGU
rnacentral:lncRNA from 1 species